UACGUAGGAGGCAAGCGUUGUCCGGAAUUACUGGGCGUAAAGCGCGUGUAGGUGGUGGGACAAGUCUGCUGUGAAAGCGCCUGGCUUAACCGGGCGAGGUCGGCGGAAACUGUCCGACUCGAGGACGGUAGAGGGGGGUGGAAUUCCCGGUGUAGUGGUGAAAUGCGUAGAGAUCGGGAGGAACACCUGUGGCGACGGCGGCUCCCUGGGCCGGCCCUGACACUGAGACGCGAAGGCGUGGGGAGCGAACGGG
rnacentral:rRNA from 1 species